GGAAUAUUGGACAAUGGGCGCAAGCCUGAUCCAGCCAUGCCGCGUGAGUGAUGAAGGCCUUAGGGUUGUAAAGCUCUUUCAGUGGGGAAGAUAAUGACGGUACCCACAGAAGAAGCCCCGGCUAACUUCGUGCCAGCAGCCGCGGUAAUACGAAGGGGGCUAGCGUUGUUCGGAUUUACUGGGCGUAAAGCGCACGUAGGCGGAUUGGUAAGUUAGAGGUGAAAUCCCAGAGCUCAACUCUGGAACUGCCUUUAAUACUGCCAGUCUAGAGUCCGGAAGAGGUAAGUGGAACUCCUAGUGUAGAGGUGGAAUUCGUAGAUAUUAGGAAGAACACCAGUGGCGAAGGCGGCUUACUGGUCCGGUACUGACGCUGAGGUGCGAAAGCGUGGGGAGCAAACAGGAUUAGAUACCCCGG
rnacentral:rRNA from 1 species